ensembl:lncRNA
GCCUACAGGCCCAUAGAUGAGGAUGGCAAUCAGGCCAUGCAAUAUUGGCCCUUUUCUUCAGCCAACUUGUACAACUGUAAGGCCCAACACCCCCCUUUUCAGAUAACUCCAAGGGGCUGAUUAAUCUCAGACUGUUUUAUUUACUCAUCAGCCCACCUGGGAUGAUAUCCAACAACUCAUGGGAGUGCUCUUCAUGACCGAAGAGUGAGAGAGGAUAAUGCAGGAAGCCAGAAAGAACGUCCCCUCAGACACAGGGGCACCAUCGAUUGAUCAGACUGUCAUCGACAGCGAGUUUCCCCUGACUAGACCUGGCUGGGACUUUAAUGUGCAAGGAGGAAACAGUUACUGUGGUAGCCAAGAAAUCUUCCCGAGGUUCAAAGUGCCAAGAUUUGCAGGUCUUACAGAUAAAGUUCUCCCAGACAGGGUUUUCUAUAACAAUCAUCAUUCUCUGAGGACAAAUAACAGGGAGUCAGCUAGAACUGCAUUGGUCCCAAAGCAGAAGAGGGAACAACUGUUCAAGCCAUGUUUGCUGUCCAGUGUUCUAUUGCUGUCAAGAGACACCAUGACCACAGCAACUCUUAUAAAGGAAAACAUUUAACUGGGGCUGGCUUACAGUUUCAGAGGUUCAGUCCACUAUCAUCCUGGUGGGAAGUAUGGCAGCAUGAAGACAUGGUGCUGGAGAAGGGGCUGAGUGUUCUAUACCAGAAUCUACAGCAGCAAGAAGAAAGGUUAUGAGCCUGGGUUGGACUACUGAAACUCUGGAAACACAGUUCCAACGACACAAAGCCACUCCCUUCAAAUCCUCUUCAAGUAGCUCCACUCUCUGAUAAGCAAACAUUCACAUAUAUGAGUUUAUGGAGCCAUUCUUACUCAAACCACCACAUUUGCAAAGACCUGGAGCAAAUGGAACAAUUGUUACAGUCACUGUCCAGAGGAGAGAAAUAAUCCAGAAAGGUCAUAAAAGAAAACCUUGGGUAUCAACUCUUCCCUUCCAAUUUAUUUGAAACAGGGUCUCCCCUCUCUCCCUCUCUCCCUCUCUCCCUCUCUCCCUCUCUCCCUCUCCCUCCUUCCCUCUCUCUCCUCUCCUCUCC